GAUGAAGAACGUAGCGAAAUGCGAUACUUGGUGUGAAUUGCAGAAUCCCGUGAACCAUCGAGUCUUUGAACGCAAGUUGCGCCCGAAGCCAUCAGGUUGAGGGCACGUCUGCCUGGGCGUCACAUAUCGUUGCUCGAUGCCUAUCGCAUUGCGAUAGGACUUAGGGCGAAUGAUGGCUUCCCGUGAGCGUUGUUGCCUCGCGGUUGGUUGAAAAUCGAGUCCUUGGUAGGGUGUGCCAUGAUAGAUGGUGGUCGAGUUAGCACGAGACCCAAUCAUGUGAGACCCCUACCGAAUUUGGCCUUCAUGACCCACAUGCGUCUUUGGAACGCUCAUGACGAGACCUCAGGUCAGGCGGGGCUACCCGCUGAGUUUAAGCAUAUCAAUAAGCGGAGGA
rnacentral:misc_RNA from 1 species